UAGUAUUGUUUUCGAUCACAGAAUGAAGUAACCUUAGCUCUCGCUUCGUCUGGAAUAGCUGCGAAGUUUUUACCAGGUGGAUGAAUUUAUGGGACUCCAACGUGUAAUAUUUCUAAACUUGGGAUGAACGUUUACGCAUACCGCUUAAUGGUUCGUGGAAACGAGGACAAUCAUACAUUGAAAUAUCAUUGAAUCAGACGAAAUUUCGAUCCGAGGACUAUAUUCAUUUGCGAGAUUUCGUUGUGAAUGACGGUAAUACAAGCAUUUAUUUUAAAAGUAAAGCUAGACCUCUUCAAAUUUACAUAAAUGCUUGUUAGACAAAACUAGAAUUACGGAAAACAAAUUUAAUCUUUUGUAAUUGUAAUUUUUGAGAUAGUUUUCAUCAACUUUUUCUAAAAUAUAAAAUUGUACAGCGUCUGCUUCGCGUUUGUUGUUGAUCCAAACCUCAAGCAGCGCUGCAUGAGUGAACUCAUGAACAUCUGCAAAAUGUAAAAUUUUCCGAAAAGGGGCAAAAACGGGCCGAAAACAUUAAUACCAUUUGAUUCUAUAUUAAUUGGUUAAAAGCACCUAAUUUUAACCUUGGUGAUUGGUUGUGCUGUAGAGUGUUGGUGUAGAGCUAAAAAUAGACUCGAACCAAACAUUGAGCAAUUCAAUAACAAAACAUAACUCUCUAAAAACAUGUACUAACAAUAAAUCGACAUACCGUGACCUGGUAUUCCUUUAAAAUUCCUUAAAAUUAGUUUUGUUCUAUCUUUUU